CACCACUACACCCACUCCUCGGUGCUGUUCCCCCAAUCCCUUCUCCCCCGCACAUCUCGCUCGGUCGUCGUGGGUUGCAUCGCCGCCGCAGAAAUUGGAGCGCCCGCCGGCUGCCGCACAGGUCGCGGGUGGUGGUUGAGCGCGCGCGGGGCGGAGGCGCGAGAGGCUGCGGUGGUGCGCGCGAGGACUGCAGAAGAGAGGUGGAACGGGUGAAGGUCGCCGCGGUGCUCUGUCUCCAAUCCGCCAAGGGGUGCGGGGUGAAGGUCGCCGGCGACACUGCGUUUCCGGCGAGGGGACUCGCCACGGAAUUUCUGAGCAUCAACAAUGUCUGAGACAAGCAAAAAAAAAGUGACGGUCAGGUCGCACAAGCAACCCAACAGGGUGUAGAUGAAAUAGAGCGCAGGUACGCCCACCACAGCAACAAAACACGCCGGUAAUUGUCUACAAGUGUAUGCGCACUAAAGAGAUCAUCUAUCGCGGGAAGCGCCCAUCAUACAUAGAUAGUAAUACCAGUGCACCAUAUGCUGAUUUAGAAGGCAAGGAUAUCAUGCAAGAGGAGGAAUCCAAGCCAAAACGGCGGAGGACAUGCAAAAACGAGUAGGAACUAAUGGAUGGAUCAACCAAAAAGGGCAUUCAAGAAGAUCAUCAUGCAGUUAAUCGUGAUGCUGAUCCCUCGCAUGCGAUUGAAUAUCAUCAAGAGGUGUGUCAGAAAAAAGAUUCAAUAAACUUGUUGUGUGUUCUUUUAACUUGUUGCAUGUUCUUUUUGCAGUGCUAGAGAAGCACACCCUUUAUUGGGU